ACCCUGGCCAUUCUGUGAUUCUGUGAUCUGAUAGGCUGUUGCUUUGCCUAUGUCACUAUUAUUUAUAUCCUUCUUUUUAACCAUUAUGACAAAUAAGCAGCAUACUGCAUGGCAUUUGUUCAGUUCUACAAUCCUAGGGCAAGUGCCAUAAAUUCAAGACAGGCCAUCUCCUGGCAUCCCAACCAUGUACCUUUGUACAGAAUUUCUGCCAAACGCGCCUGUGACAAAUCUGUUUUCUCCUUCCCUCUUCUCAGAUUAUGAGUAUAAUAAAGCACACCCUAUGACAUUAAUGGUCUUGUAAUGCUGGUUGAACUAUUCAGAUCCUAGGAGACCACAACAAAGGCAAUUUGUUCAAACAAUGUAUUGGAUUACAGGAUCCUUUUUGCUUUUGUUUUGCUUUUCUCUACAGGGCCCAUUUGUACACUGAAUGAAGCAGGAGCUCGCUCAGUACAGCUAUCCAAUGCUUUAUCUCACCUUCAUUGCCUUGUCUAACCACACAGUAUUUCUCUUCUUUUAUGAUGGGGAAUUGUUGCUUUUACUGUACUUUUCUGUGCAUGGUCUGAACAUAUCAUAAAUAGGUGUAUGCUAACUGUCAUGGCAAUGUAGGGAUGCUGGACUUUGGGUUUCUCUUCCUUUUUAUAGAUGGAGGAUCAAGAGAAAUUAAUUUAAAUGUCAGACCAUCCAUUCACUGCAGCACCAGCUUCAGACAGACAGGAUUUCUCCUUUUGAGAGGACUUAUAUUACACAGAUUUGUAAUACAAGACUUCCAGAAUGCUGGACUCUCCCACAGGACCUCACCCAGCUCUGCCAGCACUUCCUGCACCGCUUGAGCCCAAAUACAUCAGAGUGUAAAUCAACAUUUGGAGAUGCUACAGACUUGGGCAGAAAGUCAAGAGAGUGGGUUUUCUUAUCCCGUAGCCAAGAUCGAAAAGCAAAACAAUUGAUUCUGCCUUGAACAGCCCCUGAGUGCCCAGCCGGUUCGCUGACAGCAUGAGGCACAAUUGUGCUCGCAGCAAAGGCAGGGCACAAAGAGUAAGUGAGGCCACACAAGGCACAAAGCUGAACAGCCCAGGCACUGAUGUGCUGAAAACUUGGUGCUGAGCACCUGAAGGGUUCUUAUUUUUCCAAUAAUAAUUAAAAAAAAAAAAGCAAAUAUUUACUACAAAGUCUGAUGUAGAAAAGAAGGGAAGUAUUUAAUAGCCCCACAAAAUUACAGUGUGUGAAACCUUGAAGCAAGGUGCUUCAAGACUGCGCCAGGUGGACAGCUUGUGAGACACUGGUGUAAUGCUCAUGAAAUUCAGAAGAUUGAGAUCAGUACUUCUUUGCCUGUUUUCCUUUCACUCAGCCUUACUUUUUGGAAAAAGAGAGGAUAAAACAAAUAAACAGCAGCAUUUUUUUAGCA
rnacentral:lncRNA from 1 species